GGGAAGAGCAUGGCGGCUCAAUUUUUUCAUUGUUUUCCUCCCGUUACGAGGAAAUCUCUUCACUCCAUUUUCAUCCAAAAGGACACUUUUCUUCCACCCUACUUCCAUUUUCAUCUCUUUAAUCUUUCCAUUUCAAAGUCCACCCCUUCAUUUCAUUAAACCUAAGAAAGCAAAUAGAGAAACAAGUAAAGAGAAAGCUUGAGGGCAACUUCUUUCAGGUAUGAGUUGUGGAAAGUGAAGAAGAAAAAAAAAAAUCAAAGUUAGGAGGCUAAGGCUUUCGGCCAAGGUGAGAUUUUUGGCUACCCUCUUUGUUUCUUUUAUGAUUUCUUCUUCCAUUAACUUCUAUGGCUGUUUGUGGCGAAAUAAAGGCGGGAAUUUGAUAAAUCAAAGGCAAAAAUAUAGGAGGAGGAAUAAUGCCCUGUUCGGCUACACUUGUGGUAAGAAAGGAAGUUGUUUCCUUUCCCUAGAAGUUGUCCUUUUAGACUCUAACCAGUAUCAGUUUAUGCUUUAAGAGAAUAAUUGGUGCAAAGAGAAGCAAGGAGAGUAAAGACCCAAACUUAGGGUUUUGGGUGCCUAGAACGUGUGCAUUUUACCUUGUUUGCUUAUAAAAUUCUUUUAUUUGUUUCCUUUCUAGAAUCCUAGUAAAUGACAAAUAAAAUCCCUAUUAUGGUGAUAGAAGCAAAUUGAAGAGAAGUGACUCCCUAAAGUUUCGGCCAAAUAAUGGAAAUUGAGGGAGAAUCUGGAUUGUGGAAGGAUAAGAGCUUAAUGCCCUUCCUUUCUAUAUUUAUGAUGAAAUUUAAUAACCAUAGUAGAAAGGAAAAUAUAUUUAAGUGAAUGUUGCUUGUAUAGUGUAGAUAAAGGAAGUAACUUUCCAAAUGAGGAUGAGGGGCUCUUGGAAAUUUAGGUGUAUUCACUAUUCCUUCUCAUUACAUUUUGAAGCGGUGGACCGGAGACGUGAAGGGCAACUCUAAAGCAAGACGUGUGCCAAAACAACUUGAGACUAAACAACAACAUUAUAGUGACUUGUUUCAAUUGGCCACUUCAUUAAGCAAAGAAGGCUCUAUAAGUCAUGAAAGCUAUGGUUUUGUUUCUCAUGCUAUGAAAAAGGCUUUGAAGCAAUGUAAAUCAAUGAAUGAUGCAAUCAAAAACCAUGGGAGAUUUGUUUGUUCUGAGCAUAUUAAUAAAGAAAAUAUUGAUAGUAAUGUGGUAAGAGAAAACAUGGUGAUACUUGAUCUAGAUUUAUCAAAAUUAAAAAGAGCUUAUAAACGAAUCAAGUCUGCAAUAGAGAAAGGACACAAAAGAAGCAACAAAAAAGUGAGAAAGGUUAGUAACUCUGUGCGUGUGUGUGUGUAACUAAAAUGUUUUAUUUUAUAGUCUUGUUUCAUUUGUAUUAUUAGCAUUAUAUGUUUUUAACUUUUUAUCUUGGUGUUAAAUCAGACUGAUGCUAACAGUAUGUCUAUGAACCCAUGCUAAAAUCCUGCACUCAAGGGAUGUUAAGCAAAUAUGCCAUUUAUAUUUGUUGCAUUUGCUAUUGGUUUGUAAUUUAAAAUCAUGUAUUGCAAGAUGCAUAUGGCUCAUCAACCCAUGAUUAGUUUUCAAAUCAAUUGCCAUUAUAUGAUUAUCAUUUAUAUCAAUUAAAUUCUAUUUUAUUUGUUUAUACAAUUAGAAAUUUGAUAUCUGAUUGGCUUUUAUUAAACUCUAUAUAGGUACAUAUGGGAGUAAUAGUUGAUCUACAUUCAAUUUUUUCUUUAAAUUGAAGGCAAAAAGGUAUUUUAUGGCAAUUGUAAAUAGAACUUUUAAUUGAACAUAUAUUAUUUGAUACUUCCGUUUAGUAUCUUUAUACUUGCCUUAAUCAUUUUUUUUUUUUUUUUUUUUU
rnacentral:misc_RNA from 1 species